rnacentral:tRNA from 1 species
ACGCUUACGGUACAAUCACUUACGAAACCCUCGGACGGACUGAAAAUCCGUGUGUCGGCGGUUCAAAUCCGCCCCUGCCCA